CUCAGGAUGAACGCUGGCUGUGUGCCUAAUACAUGCAUGUCGAACGAAGCACUUGUGCUUAGUGGCGAAUGGGUGAGUAACACGUACUUAAUCUGCCCUCAAGUUUGGGACAACAGUUGGAAACGACUGCUAAUACCGAAUAUUCAUUAUUACCGCAUGGUAAUUUUGUAAAAGGAGCGUUUGCUUCGCUAGAGGAUGAGAGUGCGUCGCAUUAGUUAGUUGGUAGGGUAAAGGCCUACCAAGACGAUGAUGCGUAGCGGGGUCGAGAGGCUGAACCGCCACACUGGGACUGAGAUACGGCCCAGACUCCUACGGGAGGCAGCAGUAGGGAAUUUUCCACAAUGAACGAAAGUUUGAUGGAGCGACACAGCGUGCAGGAUGAAGGUCUUCGGAUCGUAAACUGCUGUUAUAAGAGAAGAAACCCUUGGUAGGAAAUGACCAAGGCUUGACGGUACCUUAUCAGAAAGCACCGGCAAACUAUGUGCCAGU
rnacentral:rRNA from 1 species